rnacentral:rRNA from 1 species
UACGUAGGGUGCGAGCGUUGCCCGGAUUUAUUGGGCGUAAAGGGCGCGUAGGCGGCUCGGCACGUCCGUUGUGAAAUCGCCCGGCUCAACUGGGCGGGGUCGGCGGAUACGGCCGAGCUGGAGCAAGCUGGGGGGUAAUGGAAUUCCCGGUGUAGUGGUGGAAUGCGUAGAUAUCGGGAGGAACACCAGUGGCGAAGGCGGUUACCUGGAGCUUUGCUGACGCUGAUGCGCGAAAGCGUGGGGAGCGAUCCGG